rfam:Lentisphaera araneosa HTCC2155 1101329224548, whole genome shotgun sequence.
CCUAGCACUGUCGUGCCAGGCUGUACUAUACCGUCCCUUUGGGACU